GUUUAUUUUCUCAAUAGCUUAAGGGCUAUAGAUAGGGCUACAAGGACCACAUAUAAUCCAACUUUAGUUUUUAGUACAAAUAUAAUUGAAAAUUUUUCUUUAUUUUUCUCUCUCCCUUUUGGUGGAUUCAUAUGUUUUAGUAGCGUAUUUAUAUCUCUGAAGUGCCCUUCCAUCAUGGUAACUAGGUUGUUUUACAUCUACCAUUGCAUUAAUAAUCCAUAGUGAGAUUGCAACCUCACCGCUAUCAGAAUGUACCAAGACAAGCUUAUUCAAUCUACAAGUUCAUGAUAUUCUAUCAAUAAAUCCAGUUUGUUCUACAAUUUCUCAGUACCAAGCAUAAGUUUUCAAGCAAUCAAUUUCAUGCCACAGGUACCAAUGUUCGAAGCCCUCUAGUACAUUUUUUUGAAGGAGUCAUUUGGCAAGAAUCUACCGAAGUGAAGCCUCCUAAAAUACCAAGAAAACAAGAAGUAUAUUUUAUAUGGGCAGCCAAUCCCAUUAUAUGAUAUAACAUUCAGCAUAGGUUGGUUUAGCCAAUCUCUAGAUAGUGCGAAAUGAACGGAUUAUCACACUAUCCGAAAUGAACCAUCUUCAAAUUUAAUAAAUUAAAAGAAAAAGAAUACAUAAUAUUUGAGCCAUGACCGAAUGCUCUUCUAAUAUUUUAUUCUCCUUCAAUCAAUUUUCAAAAUGGAAAAUAGAACAUUAUCAUGAGAAUAUGAAAGUAUAAAUUACUAGAAGCCAAGUAGAGUUAAAAUUCAAAACUAAAAUUGUCAACUUAUCUUGAAACAAAUAAUAGAUAAUUAGAUAUAGACUUACACAGGGCAGUGAU
rnacentral:misc_RNA from 1 species